GAUCCUGGCUCAGGACGAACGCUGGCGGCGUGCCUAACACAUGCAAGUCGAGCGGAGACAGUGAGUAGCUUGCUAUGAGCUGUUUUAGCGGCGGACGGGUGAGUAACGCGUGAGCAACCUUUCCCAGACAGGGGAAUAACACACCGAAAGGUGUACUAAUACCACAUAAGACCACGGGAUCACAUGGUUCUGAGGUAAAAGAUUUAUCGGUUUGGGGUGGGCUCGCGUCCGAUUAGGUAGUUGGUUAGGUAAGGG
rnacentral:rRNA from 1 species